rnacentral:snRNA from 1 species
GAUACGUGGUUCAUAGAACCACAUGAUAUUAAAUGUAUUUUUCUAGGGGGAGGGCCCACUCACAAUAUCUUGCUAUUGGGGCUCUCGGGCGUCGCUUGUGCAUUGCACGAUAGCACCAGCCCGGUGCACCCCAA